rnacentral:tRNA from 1 species
AUAAAUUUGGCAGAGCAAUGUGGCAGACUUAGAAUCUGAAGAUGAAGAUUAAACUUCUUCAAUUUAUA